rnacentral:rRNA from 1 species
GACGAACGCUGGCGGCGUGCUUAACACAUGCAAGUCGAACGCUGAAGACCUGGCUUUUGUUGGGUUGGAUGAGUGGCGAACGGGUGAGUAACACGUGAGUAACCUGCCCUCUUCUUUGGGAUAACGCCCGGAAACGGGUGCUAAUACUGGAUAUUCACUGGCCUUCGCAUGGGGGUUGGUGGGAAGGUUUGUUCUGGUGGGGGAUGGGCUCGCGGCCUAUCAGCUUGUUGGUGGGGUGAUGGCCUACCAAGGCUUUGACGGGUAGCCGGCCUGAGAGGGUGACCGGUCACAUUGGGACUGAGAUACGGCCCAGACUCCUACGGGAGGCAGCAGUGGGGAAUAUUGCACAAUGGGCGAAAGCCUGAUGCAGCGACGCCGCGUGAGGGAUGGAGGCCUUCGGGUUGGAAACCUCUUUCGCUCAUGGUCAAGCCGCAACUGUGGGUUGUGGUGAGGGUAGUGGGUAAAGAAGCGCCGGCUAACUACGUG